rnacentral:rRNA from 1 species
CCUACGGGAGGCAGCAGUGAGGAAUAUUGCGCAAUGGGCGAAAGCCUGACGCAGCAACGCCGCGUGAGGGAAGAAGGCCUUCGGGUUGUAAACCUCUUUCGACUGGGAAGAAGUCCCCUCGUAAGAGGGGAUUGACGGUACCAGGAGAAGAAGCCACGGCUAACUCUGUGCCAGCAGCCGCGGUAAGACAGAGGUGGCAAGCGUUGUUCGGAAUUACUGGGCGUAAAGGGUGUGUAGGCGGUUAGAUAAGUCAGAGGUGAAAGCCCAUAGCUUAACUAUGGAAGUGCCUUUGAGACUGUCUAACUAGAGUGCAGGAGAGGAGGGUGGAAUUCCCGGUGUAGAGGUAAAAUUCGUAGAUAUCGGGAGGAACACCAGCGGCGAAGGCGGCCCUCUGGACUGCAACUGACGCUGAAACACGAAAGCGUGGGGAGCAAACAGGAUUAGAUACCCUGGUAGU